GUGAAUCAUCAAAUCUUUGAACGCAAAUUGCGCUCUCUGGUAUUCCGGAGAGUAUGCCUGUUUGAGGGUCAAUUUAAAUAAACAUCGGUGUGUUUGCUGCCUUUCGUGGUGACUCACCGGAUUUGGGUCGUCUUGACUUCGGUUAAGUGUCCUAAAAUUUUGCAUGAUUUUUUUCGAACGUAUUUCAAUGAUUUUACAAUCUUUUGCAAUAUCGAAUACUCGGUGUGGUCAUCCUCAUGAUCCGCGUCUAUAAUUUUUCAUCAAAAU
rnacentral:misc_RNA from 1 species